AACGAACGCUGGCGGCAUGCCUAACACAUGCAAGUCGAACGAUUGCCUUCGGGUGAUAGUGGCGCACGGGUGCGUAACGCGUGGGAAUCUGCCCUUAGGUUCGGAAUAACAGCUGGAAACGGCUGCUAAUACCGGAUGAUAUCGCGAGAUCAAAGAUUUAUCGCCUGAGGAUGAGCCCGCGUUGGAUUAGGUAGUUGGUGGGGUAAAGGCCUACCAAGCCGACGAUCCAUAGCUGGUCUGAGAGGAUGAUCAGCCACACUGGGACUGGGACACGGCCCAGACUCCUACGGGAGGCAGCAGUGGGGAAUAUUGGACAAUGGGCGCAAGCCUGAUCCAGCAAUGCCGCGUGAGUGAUGAAGGCCCUAGGGUUGUAAAGCUCUUUUACCCGGGAAGAUAAUGACUGUACCGGGAGAAUAAGCCCCGGCUAACUCCGUG
rnacentral:rRNA from 1 species